CCUACGGGAGGCUGCAGUGGGGAAUAUUGCACAAUGGGGGAAACCCUGAUGCAGCGACGCCGCGUGAGUGAAGAAGUAUUUCUGUAUGUACAGCUCUAUUAGCAGGGAAGAAGAAAGACGGUACCUGACUAAGAAGCCCCGUCUAACUACGUGCCAGCAGCCGCGGUAAUACGUAGGGGGCAAGUGUGAUCCGGAUUUACUGGGUGUAAAGGGAGCGUAUAGGGCUGUGCAAUGCUGAAGUGAAAGCCCAGGGCUCAAACCUGGGACUGCUUUGGAAACUGUGGAGCUAGAGUGCUGGAGAGGUAAGUGGAAUUCCUAGUGUAGCGGUGAAAUGCGUAGAUAUUAGGAGGAACACCAGUGGCGAAGGCAGCUUACUGGACAGUAACUGACGUUGAGGCUCGAAAGCGUGGGGAGCAAACAGGAUUAGAUACCCCUGUAGUC
rnacentral:rRNA from 1 species